rnacentral:misc_RNA from 1 species
GAUGAAGAACGUAGCGAAAUGCGAUACGUAAUGUGAAUUGCAGAAUUCAGUGAAUCAUCGAGUCUUUGAACGCACAUUGCGCCCCCUGGUAUUCCGGGGGGCAUGCCUGUCCGAGCGUCAUUGCUGCCCUCAAGCACGGCUUGUGUGUUGGGCCUCCGUCCUCCUCCCGGGGGACGGGCCCGAAAGGCAGCGGCGGCACCGCGUCCGGUCCUCGAGCGUAUGGGGCUUCGUCACCCGCUCUUGUAGGCCCGGCCGGCGCUUGCCGACACAUCAAUCUUUUUUCCAGGUUGACCUCGGAUCAGGUAGGGGUACCCGCUGAACUUAAGCAUAUCAAUAAGCGGAGGA